rnacentral:rRNA from 1 species
CAGAUUGAACGCUGGCGGCAGGCCUAACACAUGCAAGUCGAGCGGUAGAGAGGUGCUUGCACCUCUUGAGAGCGGCGGACGGGUGAGUAAUGCCUAGGAAUCUGCCUGGUAGUGGGGGAUAACGUCCGGAAACGGACGCUAAUACCGCAUACGUCCUACGGGAGAAAGCAGGGGACCUUCGGGCCUUGCGCUAUCAGAUGAGCCUAGGUCGGAUUAGCUAGUUGGUGAGGUAAAGGCUCACCAAGGCGACGAUCCGUAACUGGUCUGAGAGGAUGAUCAGUCACACUGGAACUGAGACACGGUCCAGACUCCUACGGGAGGCAGCAGUGGGGAAUAUUGGACAAUGGGCGAAAGCCUGAUCCAGCCAUGCCGCGUGUGUGAAGAAGGUCUUCGGAUUGUAAAGCACUUUAAGUUGGGAGGAAGGGUCGUUACCUAAUACGUGACGAUUUUGACGUUACCGACAGAAUAAGCACCGGCUAACUCUGUGCCAG